ensembl:misc_RNA Metazoa_SRP Metazoan signal recognition particle RNA
GCUGGGUGUGGUGGCGCAUGCCUGUAAUCCCAGCUACUUGGGAGGCUGAGGAAGGAGAAUUGCUUCAACCCAGGAGGCAGAGAUUGCAGUGAGCUGAGAUCACGCCACUGCACUCCAGCCUGGGUGGCACAGCGAGACUCUCUCUCAA